AAGGCGAAACCGCGAAUGGCUCAUUAAAUCAGUUAUGGUUCCUUAGAUCGUUUCUUCCUACUUGGAUAACUGUGGCAAUUCUAGAGCUAAUACAUGCAGUGAGCCUGGAGCCCUUUGGGUAACGGGUGCUUUUAUUAGACCAAGAUCGAUCGGGUUUCGGCCCGUAUUGUGUGGUGACUCUGGAUAACUUUGUGCUGAUCGCAUGGCCACGAGCCGGCGACGUUUCUUUCAAGUGUCUGCCUUAUCAACUUUCGAUGGUAGGUUACUUGCUUACCAUGGUUGUUACGGGUAACGGAGAAUCAGGGUUCGAUUCCGGAGAGGGAGCCUGAGAAACGGCUACCACAUCCAAGGAAGGCAGCAGGCGCGCAAAUUACCCACUCCCGGCACGGGGAGGUAGUGACGAAAAAUAACAAUACGGGACUCUUUUGAGGCCCCGUAAUUGAAAUGAGUACACUCUAAAUCCUUUAACGAGGAUCAAUUGGAGGGCAAGUCUGGUGCCAGCAGCCGCGGUAAUUCCAGCUCCAAUAGCGUAUACUAAAGCUGCUGCGGUUAAAAAGCUCGUAGUUGGAUCUCAGUUCCAGACGAGUAGUGCAUCUACCCGAUGCGACGGCUCGGACUGAACAUCAUGCCGGUUCUUUCUUGGUGCACUUCAUUGUGUGCCUCGAGAUGGCCGGUGCUUUUACUUUGAAAAAAUUAGAGUGCUCAACGCAGGCGAGUCGCCUGAAUAAACUUGCAUGGAAUAAUAGAACAAGACCUCGUUUCUGUUCUGUUGGUUUUUGGAAUACGAGGUAAUGAUUAAGAGGGACGGACGGGGGCAUUCGUAUUGCGGCGCUAGAGGUGAAAUUCUUGGACCGUCGCAAGACGAACUACUGCGAAAGCAUUUGCCAAGAAUGUUUUCAUUGAUCAAGAACGAAAGUCAGAGGUUCGAAGGCGAUCAGAUACCGCCCUAGUUCUGACCAUAAACGAUGCCAACCAGCGAUCCGCCUGAGUUACUCAAAUGACUCGGCGGGCAGCUUCCGGGAAACCAAAGUAUUUGGGUUCCGGGGGAAGUAUGGUUGCAAAGCUGAAACUUAAAGGAAUUGACGGAAGGGCACCACCAGGAGUGGAGCCUGCGGCUUAAUUUGACUCAACACGGGAAAACUUACCCGGCCCGGACACUGGGAGGAUUGACAGAUUGAGAGCUCUUUCUUGAUUCGGUGGAUGGUGGUGCAUGGCCGUUCUUAGUUGGUGGAGCGAUUUGUCUGGUUAAUUCCGAUAACGAACGAGACUCUAGCCUAUUAAAUAGGUGCGGGGUUCCCAGCACCUUACAACCUUCUUAGAGGGACAAGCGGCUCCUAGCCGCACGAAACAGAGCAAUAACAGGUCUGUGAUGCCCUUAGAUGUCCGGGGCCGCACGCGCGCUACACUGAAGGAAGCAGCGUGUCUUUAUCCCUGUCUGAAAAGACUGGGUAACCCGUGGAACUUCUUUCGUGAUUGGGAUAGGGGCUUGCAAUUGUUCCCCUUGAACGAGGAAUUCCCAGUAAGCGCGAGUCAUAAGCUCGCGUUGAUUACGUCCCUGCCCUUUGUACACACCGCCCGUCGCUACUACCGAUUGAAUGAUUUAGUGAGGUCUUCGGACCGAUGUCCGGCGCGGCCUUUCGGUUGCGCCGGUCUGUUGGAAAGAUGACCAAACUUGAUCAUUUAGAGGAAGUAAAAGUCGUAACAAGGUUU
rnacentral:rRNA from 1 species